rnacentral:lncRNA from 1 species
AAGGGCCUGAAGGAAUAUUUUGAGAAAACAUGUUCAUUUAAGCAACAUCUAUAAGCAUGCAAUUAACAAUUAAAGGCGAAAUCAUGCUAGCAUGCACUUAAAAACAAAACAUUAACCAUGAAAUUCAAAGCCUAGUAGAUUGGUGAACCAAGAAUCAACUCAAAACAAAGUGAGUUGAAAUAUAUACCUUUGUAGAUUCCUCUUUGUAUUUAAACAAAGGUUAAUCACCCAAGAGAUAGGGCCUUCAUUCCUUGCAUCUAAGAUCCAUGGAUUUGGAUGGAUCUACACCAAGGAGAGUAUGGAUGAUAAAUGAGUGACCAUGGAAGAAUAGAUGGCUAGCUACAACUUCCAUGGUGGCCGGCCUUUCUAGAGAGAAAUGGAGAGACAAUUCUCACCAAUUUUCUCUAAAACAAACCCCUUUUUGAAAAAAAGGCUAUAAAGUCAUAUUUAUACCUUUAUUCAUUUGAGUGGCAAACUUGUAAUUAA